UAGGGAAUCUUCGGCAAUGGACGAAAGUCUGACCGAGCAACGCCGCGUGAGUGAAGAAGGUUUUCGGAUCGUAAAACUCUGUUGUUAGAGAAGAACAAGGACGUUAGUAACUGAACGUCCCCUGACGGUAUCUAACCAGAAAGCCACGGCUAACUACGUGCCAGCAGCCGCGGUAAUACGUAGGUGGCAAGCGUUGUCCGGAUUUAUUGGGCGUAAAGCGAGCGCAGGCGGUUUCUUAAGUCUGAUGUGAAAGCCCCCGGCUCAACCGGGGAGGGUCAUUGGAAACUGGGAGACUUGAGUGCAGAAGAGGAGAGUGGAAUUCCAUGUGUAGCUGUGAAAUGCGUAGAUAUAUGGAGGAAAACCAGUGGCGAAGGCGGCUCUCUGGUCUGUAACUGACGCUGAGGCUCGAAAGCGUGGGGAGCAAACAGG
rnacentral:rRNA from 1 species